GAGGGAGAUGAGGCGAUCGCGGAGGCGAGGGUCGGAGGGGGACGUGCGGGCGAGGGAGCGGCGGCCGGAGGCCGCCAGCGAGUCGCCGAGAGAGGUGAAGACGAGGACUAAGAAGAUGAAGACGGCGGCAAAGAAAGCGGCGGAGACGAGGUCGAGAAGGCUCCAGCGGCGGGUGGCGCCGCCAGCGGAGAGGCGGCGGGAGGGCGGGAGGUUGAUGUGGCCCAUUGAAGGCGAGAAUGGAGUCUCAGAUCUG
rnacentral:misc_RNA from 1 species